rnacentral:rRNA from 1 species
GCCAGAUCCGCGAGCUGGCCUACAACGUGGAGGACUGCAUCGAGCUCCUCGUCCACGUCGACAAUGGGACGACCAGCUUCUGGCUCCGCCUCCGCCGGCUCUGCGUCCCCUGGGCGCGCCCGCCGGCGCUCGACCAGGCGCUCGACGAGAUGGAGCAGCUCAAGGCCAGGGUCGCCGACGUCAGCACCACCUGCUUGGUUCUGCAGACCUCACCGUAUAGUUGUUGUUCAGGUGCCUAGAGGUAUUGGGAAACUGACGGCGUUGCACACGCUUGGUGUUGUCAACACUCAACAUCUCUGCUUCCGGUGGGAAGGCCAUGGCCAAAGCUGCUCUCAAGAAGCUCACCCAGUUGCGCAAGCUCCGAGUGUCCGGCGUUAACAGGAAGAACAGCAAGGAUAUGUUCUCUGCAAUCAAGGGCCAUCUCCAUCUGGAAUCCGUUGUCUGUCCAGCCUGACCAUUUUAUAGGUGCGCAACUCCAGCUCAUUAUCUGUCAAGUUUGGUUCAGAGACGAUGAAAAGUCUUGAGCUGCUCAAGCUACUGGUAUAUAUAUUUAAUAGGAAAGCUAGCCAAUAUGUCCAGCCUUCUCUCACAUUGCUCAACGGUCCUUAACACCAUUGUGGUUUGAGUGGAAAACUGCUCAACUGUCCUUUUUCUCACAUUGCUGCCAAAAGUGCAAGGGAAAAAUGGAGACAACACUAAGAGGCUUCUCUGACGAGCACAAUGAUCUGAGUGGAAAAGAGUGAGAUUGUUGAAAAACAGUGCAUCUUAUCCCAAGCCAAGCAAGAAAGAGUCGAACACGGUGGGCAUGAGUCAAGUCAAUGCAUACUUUUCUACGCGGUAGGUGGGCAUCUCAUUGGGUUGGUGGUAUAUAUCCAACUGAGGCUAGCAGGAAGCGGUUCCUUCUCAGAAGCUUCAUCCCCGUUUCUCCUCUGCUCUCUUCACAACUGCUAGAGGAUCCCUCAAGAGUCCCAUCUUCACAAGAAAUGGCUACUAGUGCUAGCGGAGGUAGAACUCAAGAGAACAAGCCGAGCAUUUUGAGCACAUUACCGAAGCAUCUGCCAUUAGACUUUCUGAAGAGUAUCACAGAUCAGUUCUCAGAGAAGCGUGUAAUUGGUGAAGGCGCUUUUGGAACUGUUUAUAAGGGAACAGCGCCAGAUGGGGAAACCAUUGCUGUGAAGAAACUUGCCGAAAACUCGCCCCUUCCACGAGAUAAAGCAUUUAAUAAUGAGGUUCAAAAUAUUAUGGCUCUCCAUCAUGAAAAUGUUGUAAAGUUGGUUGGUUACUGUCAUGAAAGUCAAAAGAAAGUGGUGCAGAACAAUGGAAGGUAUAUUGUUGCUGACAUUGUUGAAAGUGUACUCUGCUACGAAUAUUUACCAGGGGGAAGCCUUAAGAAGAAUCUUUUUGGAGAUACCAAAAUGGACUGGGACACACGAUUCAACAUAAUUAAGGGGAUCUGCGAGGGUUUACUCUUUGUACACAGCAUUCCUAUUGUCCAUAUGGAUCUUAAGCCCGAAAAUAUACUGCUGGAUAGUAACAUGGUACCGAAAAUAGCGGAUUUUGGUCUCUCGCGACUCUUCGGUCAAGAACAAACACGGAUGAACACACAAAAUGUAGUGGGGUCAUAUGGAUACAUUGCUCCAGAAUAUCUAUACAGAGGUGAAAUCUCCACAAAGUCAGACAUAUACAGUUUAGGUGUACUAAUCCUGGAGACCACCACAAGAGAGGAGAAUUGCCGCGGGAACAAACCAUCUGCAGAACAAUUUAUUAAAAAGGUACGUGAAAAUUGGACAGAGCAGCACAUCGUAUCAGAGUACCCAUCAUUAAAAGCAGAUAGCCUCCGACAAAUAAAAAAAUGCAUCGAAAUUGGACUGCAAUGUGUUGAGACUGAUCGGCAGAGGAGACCUUCCAUAGAAGCAAUUAUCAACCAGCUCAAUGGACGGCAUUCUAAUUGAGCUACGAUGCCGUACUGAUCUCCAGUCUCGAGGGAGAAUUAAGUUCGGGUCUUCUUCAGGAGACAUGUGCAAGAAGCAAAGGACAUGCUCGGCUGUUUGCCAAAUAAUUUGCUUCGAUAUGUACGUCAUUGUGGAACCUGUUAGCUUUCAUUUCUUAUGAUGAUUGCUACUCCAGAUACAGUGCAGUUGCCUGUCCAAUUUAAGUGCGACGUAAGAGUUUUAUUCUCCCCAUGUAGAUUUUAAGACGCGCUAACAUUUUCUCAAGGGCAAUUAGAGUAUUUGUAGUUCUAAUUUCUAAACAUAAUACACUCUCACAUUUAAUUUACAAAAAAAACUGCUUAAGGAUUUUUUGCCGAAAAAGGCCGGUAUACCCUAGGCCUCUCUGCGCCAAUUGUAUGCAUGUAUCCAUCAUUAAGAAGCUUCACGUACAAAGUAAAGUCAUACAAGCCAGAUAAAAAGGCCAACACAACCGAAAGGCAAUAGAGAUUACAUGACACUCUCAAGGACCACUAAUACUAACUGUGUGGUGCUUGAUAUCAGGAUUUUUUUUUAAUCUAGCUUGAUAUCAGGUGGGGAGCGCAGCGAAUAGUCAAUAAUAGUGCAGCCUGAUUGCUUACCUGGGCCAGCCAGGCCAUCAGUUCUCUCUUUUGAAAAAUGUUCAACCUGUGUUUAAAAAUGUUCAUUGUGUAUGAAAAAAAGGUUCAAAGUGCUUUUCACAAAUGCUCAACAUGUAUUCAGAUAAUUUUUUCAGAAAAACAUGUAUUCUAAUAAAUAUUAAUCAUAUAUUUAAAAAAUGUUCAACAUGUGUCUAAAAAUGUCCAGCCUGUACGGAAGAUGUUCAAUUGCUAUAUAUUUAAAAUUCGACAUGUAUUUGAAAAUUCUAAAAAUAAAAUAAAAAUAACCGAAAAUAACAAAAACAUAGUAAAACGAAAAAUGAACAGAAACAAAAAGAAAAUCAAUAAUAACUGAUAGAGAAACAUAGAAAAUAUUUUAUAACUUGCAAAACCUUCCCAAAAGUGGGCGGAAGUUUUUUUUUCUGGGACAAGGCGGAAGCGUGCAUGCUUGCAUGCGUGCGCUGCCAGGACCGCGGGUCUUGAUGCUGUCGUGGGCGAUUUUUAUGUUGCUAGCUUCUUCAAAUUUGGAUUUUUCUACUGGUGUUUGACAACAGUUUGACCACAGUUUGACCAGAUUUGACCAAAAUUCAAAAAAACUGAAAUAAUUAUUUAGUAACACUAAUAUUCUUGAAUAAUUAUUUAGUAACACUAAUACUUCUUGAAUAAGUAGUUUGACCAUAGUUUGACCAGAUUUAACAAAAAUUAAAAAAACCCAGAAAUUUGAGCAUAACUUUUUUUCCUUUUAGAAUUUGAGGAUUCUCAAAAUUUGCAAAUAGGCCGUAGGCUGUCAAAAUCGGAUGCGGAUUUUCGUGCUGAACAUUUUGAUAUAUUAUACUUUUUUUCUGACAUCGUAUGCAAAACUACAUCUGGAAGGAUUUUAAUUUCUGAAGUUUUUAUCAUUUUCUUUUGCUUUUUACAAAACUGAAAAGGCGAUCCGGGGAGAGGGGGGUAGAGUUUGAAAAUGGGACCUUUAGUACCGGUUCGUGCCAUGAACCGGUACUAAUGCCUCAAACCCCAUUAGUACCGGUUGGUGGCUCAAAUCGGGACUAAAGGUAACCUUUAGUACCGGUUGGUGCCACGAACCGGUACUAAUGGGCAUCGCACCCAUUAGUGCACCCAUUAGUACCGGUUCGUGGCACCAACCGGGACUAAAGGUCUCAUUUGAACCGGGACUAAUGCCUGUACGGUGCCCUAGCCGCCUGAACCAGACUAAUGCUCUUUUCUGGCCGAAUCAAAGCCAUGUUUUCUACUAGUGGAAGAGGACGACCCAUGAAGAGGCUGCACCGGUUCUGCGGCAACGUUGACCGCUACAAUUUCUUCACCGAGCUGGGGAANNNNNNNNNNCAUCUGGAAGGAUUUUAAUUUCUGAAGUUUUUAUCAUUUUCUUUUGCUUUUUACAAAACUGAAAAGGCGAUCCGGGGAGAGGGGGGUAGAGUUUGAAAAUGGGACCUUUAGUACCGGUUCGUGCCAUGAACCGGUACUAAUGCCUCAAACCCCAUUAGUACCGGUUGGUGGCUCAAAUCGGGACUAAAGGUCUCAUUUGAACCGGGACUAAUGCCUGUACGGUGCCCUAGCCGCCUGAACCAGACUAAUGCUCUUUUCUGGCCGAAUCAAAGCCAUGUUUUCUACUAGUGGAAGAGGACGACCCAUGAAGAGGCUGCACCGGUUCUGCGGCAACGUUGACCGCUACAAUUUCUUCACCGAGCUGGGGAAGAGAUAGACAUGUGGGUUAAUGGUGCUCGCUCAGGAUCCCCGCAGUGGCAUCUUGCAGAACUGCAGCGAGAGGGUGUCACACUUCAAUUCUUAUUCUAGCUAGCUCUCCUUCUCUGCUUGCGUUGGACUUGUUCUACAGCAGAGUAGAAUACAGUAGGGAGGGAGGCUAGAGGCUAGGGGAGAAUCUGGAGUGAGCUAGAGUGCCGUGCGUGCACUUUUAUCACGGGAAAGUUUGUCGCGGGUGGCAGUCGACACAGCCAGCGGGGGAGAAGUGCAAGCGGCGUCGGCCGGCCGUGACGGCGUCCAUUACCAAUGAUAUGGCAGAAUAAUGGCCCACCAAGACCGAUCGUGCGGCUGCGUCAAAACUCCGAACUUGAGCUAGCGGUGCCGUCGGCUGCUGAAUACUGUCGAGCACAAGGUCAAUAUGUACAGCUCUGAUUUUUUUUUUUUGCUGGAGUGAGCAUAGUUUUUUUUAGGGAAGAGUGAGCAUAGUUUUUCCGCGGUUAUAAUUGAAGUUCAACGAUAUCUUGCUGUCGAUUUUAUGUAAAGUUUAAGUUGAUGCUGCUGCAGGAUGUGGCCUAUUUUUACAUGAACAGAGAUGGGUUCGCCCUAUUCACAAUCUUCUGAUUUACAAUUUCUCCAUGGAGCUCUAUGUUUUGGCAGCAAUCCAUGGAGUUAUGUCC